ACCGUCACAGUACCGUAUCGUAUCCACCGUGCGCCGGCCGGGCAGUCAUUCGCUGAUUCACGUUACACCGUGCCAGGUCCGGGCCGUCACCGUACGCCGUCCGGGCUGAUAUUGGUUUUCCAAACCAAAUUUAUGUGUUUUUUAACCAAAUACUUCGGAUGAGUCAUAUCAUAAAGCACAGGUUUCAGAAUGAAUUCGACCGAAAAACUUAUAUCAGUGAUUCAAUCAUAUCCCAGUUUAUUUAAUACAAGUCGUAAAAUAAGGAAGUAAUUCAUUCCAAGGUGCCAAAUCAAAGUCGAACACCUCAAAUUGCCACAACCAGGCGACAUCGACAUAACGCUGUGAUGCAUUAUUAAAACGAGAUUCUACCAGAUAAGGA